rfam:TPA: Bos taurus chromosome 20, whole genome shotgun sequence.
UCCCUGGUGGUUCAGAUGGUAAACAAUCUGCCUGCAAUGCAGAAGACCUGGGUUCAAUACCCAGGCCGGGAA